rnacentral:rRNA from 1 species
GACGAACGCUGGCGGCGUGCUUAACACAUGCAAGUCGAACGGAAAGACCCUGCUUUUGUGGGGUGCUCGAGUGGCGAACGGGUGAGUAACACGUGAGUAACCUGCCCUUGACUUUGGGAUAACUUCAGGAAACUGGGGCUAAUACCGGAUAGGAGCUCCUGCUGCAUGGUGGGGGUUGGAAAGUUUCGGCGGUUGGGGAUGGACUCGCGGCUUAUCAGCUGUUGGUGGGGUAGUGGCUUACCAAGGCUUUGACGGGUAGCCGGCCUGAGAGGGUGACCGGCCACAUUGGGACUGAGAUACGGCCCAGACUCCUACGGGAGGCAGCAGUGGGGAAUAUUGCACAAUGGGCGGAAGCCUGAUGCAGCAACGCCGCGUGCGGGAUGACGGCCUUCGGGUUGUAAACCGCUUUCGCCUGUGACGAAGCGUGAGUGACGGUAAUGGGUAAAGAAGCACCGGCUAACUACGUG